UGGCUCGCUCGGUCUUUUCGGGGAAGAUUGUUGUUCAGCUUCCAUGGUAUUUGCCCUCAGUCAAGAUUCCAAAUACCUUGAUUUGGGCCUUUGGUCAAGAUUCCAAAUACCUUGAUUUGGGGCCUUCCAUUGAGAUUCCAAUUAACUUGAUUGGGAUUCUACAAGGUCUGUCCGGAAAAAGUCCAGUCAUUGUUAAUGUAACAAGAGCUGAUAUUACCUGGCAGCCAGGGAGAGUGGAGAGUGGACUGGAGUGCACAUGUGUGAACAAUGAAGACUUCACUGUACUAGUCCGUGGGCCAUAGACGCUGUUGAGUGAGCAUCUGUAUUCUGUGGCCAUUACAUUCAAAAUGACUGAGCGAGUAGAGCAACGAAUCUGCAUCAAAUUUUGUGUUAAGCUUGAACAUUCCUCAGCAGAAACUAUUCGAAUGAUUCAGAAGGCUUUCGGAGAUGAUGCAAUGAGUGCAGCGCAGAUAAAAGUGUGGCACAAACGCUUCAAAGAUGGCCGAGAAUCUGUUGAAAGUGACCCACGUUCUGGAAGGCCUGCGACAAGCAGAACACCUGAAAAUGUCGAACGUGUGCGCGCUGCCAUCAGCAAAGACCUGCACCUGACAGUGCGUGAACUAGGAGCAGAUCUGGGGAUUCCCAAAACUACCGUGUCUGAGAUUUUGACACGCGAUCUUCGCAUGAAACGUCUUGUAGCAUAAUUCAUUCCCUGGCUUCCACCACCAGAGCAGGAGGAACAUAGUGCUGCAGUUGCAACGACUCCACUCAAACCACUACCAGUGUACCAGAUUUUCUGAAGGUCAUGACCAGAGAUGAAUGGUGGGUCUAGGUCUGUGAUCCAGAAACAAAGGCCCAGCCUUCCAAUGGAAGGUGUCAGCCACCACAAGUUGCUCUUCCAGGGCAAAUGAUAAGGAGUACUACCUCAGUGUUCUUUUUUGAGAGAAGCAAUACGAUGGAAACAGCCGCAACUCUGGGCAGCUGGUGGCUGGCAGCUUCUUCAUGACAACGUGCCUGCUCAAUGCAUUAAGACUCAUGCAGAGUUAUUUUGGUGAAACAUCAACUCAGCCCUUCUACAGCCCACAUUUGUUUCUCUGCGACUUCUGGCUUUUCCCAAAACUAAAAUCACCUUUGAAAGGAAAGGAAUUUCAAGCUAUUGAUGAGAUUCAGGAAAAUAUGAUGGGGCACCUAAUGGCAGUUCCAACCAUGGAUUUUGCAGAGUGUUUUGAACAGAGGAGGAGAUGCUGGAUUAACUGAGGUCCUGAGGGUCCUACUUUGAAGGGGACUGAGGUGUCGUCCUAUAUACUGUUAUUUCUUGUGUCUUCAGAAAAAGUCUGUUUUUUCAUAGUGAAUAGCUGGAUACUUUCUGGACAGACCUCGUAAAUGUGCAUCUAACAUUUCUUUCUGUUUCCAUUCAGGAGAGAAGAGGAACCUCACCUUAAUUUUUGGCAGCUGGCAAUGUUUUUUGAGUCCUUUAUUUGAGAGGGAAAGUUUGUAAAGUUAUGUUAUUUUUGGAAGAUUAAUAACCGCCCUUUGGCGUAAAGGGGAAAGAGGAUUGCAAAUCUUGGGCGUAGCUCCAGACAUGUAUUAACUAAUAGAAUGUUCUAGUGGCCAGGUGGCCUAUUUAAGUUUAUAAGGAAUUGCAGAAUGCACUUUAGUUUGAGGUUUAUUAAGACAGUAUGGUCUGUGGACCUAGACACCUCAGAAUUUUUCAGAAUAUCUGAGGUAAGAAAUUGAAAAAGGAUGAUAUUUGGUCUUUUUAAAGCCUUCAAGUUGGUUUUCUAACUGCACUGCUGAACAGAAAGCAGAAGCCCAUGAGAACCUAGAUGUUUUUAUUAAAGCUCCAUUUUUAAUGUACUUAUGAAUUGUAAUAAAGGCGACUAUACAUUGUGCA